GCCGGACGCGGUGGCGCGCGCCUGUAGUCCCAGCUACUCGGGAGGCUGAGGUGGGAGGAUCGCUUGAGUCCAGGAGUUCUGGGCUGCAGUGCGCUAUGCCGAUCGGGUGUCCGCACUAAGUUCGGCAUCAAUAUGGUGACCUCCCGGGAGCGGGGGACCACCAGGUUGCCUAAGGAGGGGUGAACCGGCCCAGGUCGGAAACGGAGCAGGUCAAAACUCCCGUGCUGAUCAGUAGUGGGAUCGCGCCUGUGAAUAGCCACUGCACUCCAGCCUGGGCAAUAUAGUGAGACCCCCUAA
rnacentral:SRP_RNA from 1 species